rnacentral:rRNA from 1 species
CGAACGCUGGCGGCGUGCUUAACACAUGCAAGUCGAACGCGAAAGGGACUUCGGUCCUGAGUAAAGUGGCGCACGGGCGAGUAACGCGUAGAUAACCUGUCUUCAUGUCUGGAAUAAUACGCCGAAAGGGGUACUAAUACCGGAUAUUCUUGCCUUUCAUAAGUUAUGCAAGCAAAGGUGGCCUCUGCAUAUGCUACUGCAUGAAGAGGGGUCUGCGUACCAUUAGCUAGUAGGUGGGGUAAUGGCCUACCUAGGCGACGAUGGUUAGCGGGUCUGAGAGGAUGAUCCGCCACACUGGCACUGGAACACGGGCCAGACUCCUACGGGAGGCAGCAGUGAGGAAUAUUGCGCAAUGGGGGAAACCCUGACGCAGCGACGCCGCGUGAGUGAAGGAAGGCCUUCGGGUCGUAAAGCUCUGUCAAGAGGAAAGAAGUGUACAAUGGCUAAUACCUGUUGUAUUUGACGGUACCUCUAAAGGAAGCACCGGCUAACUCCGUGCCAGCAGCCGC